rnacentral:rRNA from 1 species
UGUAGUUGGGGGAAGGCAGCGGGGGUAAUGCGGAGGGUGCAAGCGUUCAUAGGAAUUAAUGGGCGUAAAGCGUGCGCAGGCUGAUUAUUAAGUUGGAAUUGCAAUCCCUAGGCUCAACCUAGGAACUGCAGUUGAAACUAAGAAACUAGAGUAUCGUAGAGGGAGGUAGAAUUCCAGGUGGAGUGGUGAAAUGCGUAGAUAUCUGGAGGAAUACCAGUGGCGAAGGCGACCUCCUGGACGAAAACUGACGCUCAAGCACGAAAGCAUGGGGAGCAAACAGGAUUAGAUACCCCAGUAGUC